rnacentral:ncRNA from 1 species
GCCAAAGCGAUGAGGGGGAGUGUCGGCGGCCCACUCCGGUAGGCGAGAGAGCUGGUGGCUGGUGGGAACCAGCCCGGAGGCUGUCGAGGGGCACCCCUGAGUACCCGGCGAGAAAUCCUGGAUAAGGAAGAAGCCGGGGCGGUCAUGUCCGUUACGCAUGCAGAGGGGGCCGGGUUAUGGCGUUUUUAACCUGGUCAAUUAGGGUGGCACCGCGGGUGAAACUCUCGUCCCUUGC